CCCCUCACCGUAAAACCUGUAUACUUUCCCAGAAAAUAGUAUAUAUAAAACCAUAUAUAAUCUCAAAAUUCAAAUCUCAAAUCUUUAACGCUUUUCAAGAAAAACAUGCCAUGCCAUAAAUCAAAAUAUAAAUCAGGUGAAAUAAGGAAUCAAUCGGAGACCCUGCAGUUGGUCAUAUACGAUUAAUUCAACAGCUCAAUAUCUCACUAAGCCGGAGUCACCACAGUGACCUAUACGGCCCUACUCUGCACAUCACUCGGAACUACGUAAGGUAGUCUAUACGAUGAAAGGUGUAAAAUACGCUCUAGUGCUUCUCUCAUCAUAUCAUCAGCGCGCAUAUCUAAGGUCACCCACUAGUCGGAAUCACGCCUAGUGAUCUGUACGACUAGCAUGUCGGAACCCUCACAUGGUCUGUACGACAUCCACCUACUUGGAUCCAAGGCGAGCGUGCGGUGUGGUGAAUAAUAUAAGCACUAACACCUAGGGUGCAGGUAAUGAGCUUCCAAUUAUAUCGAUAUCAAUCAAUUCAAUUAAAUGAAUAAUGAACUCACCUGACUUACCUGUGCCUCCACAGCACCAUGCAACAUGUAUGCAUCAUAUCUCAAUCAUGUAAUUCAUAUAACAAUUCACAUUUUCAAAUAAUUCUAUGCAUGGCAUUUUUAAAGCAUAUUUUCAUAUAAAUUCAUUUUCUGGGAAAAAUCAAUAGUAUAUAGGUAAUACGAAAACAAAACUGCCCACUCACCUGGAGUUCGCCCACAACUCCCUCGCACCGUACAUCAAGGCGUCAUGACGAUUAGCGCCUAGAACAACAAUCAAAUCCAACCUCAGAAAUUCUGCCGAUAGAAUACAUAACUUAUAUAAGACACGUCACUACGUAGUUCGAUCCGGAUGAUCUGCAAUUCAGAUUUCCAAUCCGAAACUUCCAGAGGUCCACAAUAUACCUCUAGGAUAACAUCCUAAAAUUUCGUUACCAUCCAACGGUCGGAUCUCCGUCAAUUUCCAAAACUAAGUGAUGAUUAACAUUCUAUUUUAUGAACUUACAACUCCAAUUCCGGAAGAUCCGUAAAUCGGAUUCCCAAUCCGUAAGUUUCUAUAAUCCUCAAAUAUUACGUAUUACAACGUAUCAAAGUUUGGUGACGAUCCAACGGUCGGAUCGUCAAUUCACAUUUUCACCUAACCACGAAUCGUAACCAACCUAGGUUCAAUUAUUCAAUUUACGUCCAUCAAUUAACAAAACUGAACCUAGAACCUUAAUCACAUGCUAAUAAUGACAUUGGCGGGCCAUUGGCCACGCGCCGCCGCGGGUGGCGGUUGGCCGCCCCCGGCUCGCCGGAAAAUUCAACUAUUUCCAAAAAUUACCAAAAUUUGGAGAUUUGAAGAUCUCAAUGAGUAGAACAACUUUCAUACCUGAGGCCAAGGCCAAUUUGGCCUGGAAGUGCUUCAAUUUCACCAAAACCGUGAAGAACCCUAGAAUUUGGGUGUUUCCAAUUCGACCUUCAAACUUGUUCCAACGCCUCAAUUACCUCCUGGGCUUUGUUCUAGGUCCUAAAGGAAUGCUAAAGGUGUUAGUAAUUGAAAGAAAACAUUUCAAAAUUUGGAGAAUUUAAACAAAAGGGUCGCGGCACCCGUAGGGGUGUUCUUCGCGAAAUCACAACGAAAUUCAAUGAUUCUUGGGGUGAAACGUAAAGAGGGAAGGCCUAGAUGAUGAUUAGGAGUGGUACCUUGACUCAAUUCGUCGGAAAUUUGAACGAAAUCCAUCGAAUUUGGGCGUGGGCACCGCCGGGUCGAAACGACCCACGGGUUCUCCCCAACCCACUUCCUUUUUCUCUCCGCUUCUCCUCCUUUCCCUGUUCCGAUUGGUCAGCUUCCUCUCUCUGCCUCAGAUUCGCUCUCUCUCCUUCUUCUCCGAUUGGGCAGUUUUUGCCCAAUCUCUUCUUCUUCUUCUCUGUUCUUCCCACGCACACACCCACACAAAACUUUCAUUUUUCUCAUCCCAGCCAUCCAUUUCAAAAAUCCUUUAAUCUGGGCCAUCCAAAUUUUAAUAAUAAAAUUCAUAAAAUGUCCAACUUCAAACUUUAAAAAUCUUUUUCGUUAUAACUCCAAAUAACGAACCGUCUGCGCCUACGCGUCCGUAACGACGAGUACUACGAGGAUAUGUCAAGAAAACAAAUCUUAGAUGGCACGACACAACGAUUAACCUCGAAUGAUGUGCGUGUCUCGAAGGGCAUUUUGUAAAAUCCUUUAUUAAAACUUUAAAAAUUCUUAAAAUUAGGGACGGGCUGUCACAAUCUACCCACCUUACAGAAAUUUCGUCCUCGAAAUUUACACAAUCUUUACAAUCCAUCAAUAUCCAUGAAACAGCCCGAAACACAUAUCUCUCAUUCGAUUCUUUGAUUUCUAAGUAGCUUCUUCCACUGAAAGAUUCCUCCAUAAACUUUCACCAAACUCAUAGUCUUAUUUCUCAGUACAUCAUCUUUCUAAUACAAGAUAGGCAUUGGCUCCUCAUCAUACGUCAAAUCCAUAUUGACUUCCAAAGGUUGCGAAGGUAUCACUCGUGAAGGAUAUGAGGUUUAAUGUCGAAGUAUCGAAACAUAAAACAUAUCAUGCCCUUUCAUCGGCUCUGGAGGCAACUCAGCCUGUACGUAACUUCACUGACUCGUUCGAUGAUCAUAGAUGGUCUGACGUAUCUAGGACUUACUUGUUUUUCUUUUUAAAACGAAUCAUACUUUUCCAAGGUGAUAAUUUCAAAAUCAUUCGAUCACCUACAUAUACAUCCGGUCAGUGGCAUGUUUGUCUGCUAAGCUCUUCAGCCGAUCCUGGCCCACUUCCAGGUUAGACUUAAUUACUUGAAUAUUCCGAAUAGUCUCAUCUACUAACUCAGGGCCUUGAAUACUAUCCGUCCCCAAUUCUAACAAUUUCGAAACACAAGACAUAGCUUUACGCGGCCUUAUGGCGUUACUCAAGAGAACAAACUGAAGGGACCAACAUACCCAAGAAGUUUAACAGAUCCCAAAUCUCUUUUUCCAUAAAACAAAUAAAUAACUGUUGCGCUUGUCUGGAAAGGUUGAUGUUCUCAUACUGAAGUAACAUACGCUGACGUCACAAGUCGAUCAAUUAUUAUUCAAAUUCCAACCCAACUAUUUUGUAUACGAGGAAGCUUGUCCACGAAAUCCGUAGUAAUAUUCUCCCAUUUCCGCCGUGGAAUGGGAAAUGACUACAUUAUUCCAAAAAACUUAUUUCUUUCUGCUUUAACCUGAUGCCGGAUGAUACGCCUACUAACAUACUUCGCCAUUUCUCUUGUCAUACCCGUCAAUAGUACAUGAACGAAUAGUAUGAUAAAUCUUAGUACUCCCGGGAUGCAUUGUAGAAGUGGAACAAUGUACAUCGUCAAAAUUGCUCUCUUUAAUUCCAUACCAUUAAGCAUAAACACUUUGUUCCCUUGCAUAAGCUUGUCAUCUGAUUCUCUAGCUCUAAGGUCUUUCUUUUUCCCGUUAUUCCUUGCUUAAAUAAAUUCUUGAAUUUCAUCGUCAAACGCUUGAGUCUCGAGUACGAUCUACCAAAUUGGUCCAACUUGGAAAUUAGCAAGUAAGCCUUCUUCUCGAUUUUUGAUACUCAACUUUACUCCAGUAGAUUUCAAUUCCACAAGAAGAUGAACAUAGCAAGCGUACCAAGCAUUAAUUCUCACUGGGGUCUUCCUACUAAAUGCAUCAGCCACAACAUUAGCUUAACCACCCUCGUCACACGAUCAUAAUCACUAAGCAACUCAAUCCACCUUUGUUGCCUAAGAUUAAUAUCUCUCCGCGUAAACAUAUAUUGGAGACUCUUAUGAUUCAUUAAAAUCUUGCAUUUCUCACCAAUAAUAUAAUGUCUCCAUAACUUCAAAGUAAGAAUGAUAGCCGCCAAUUCCAAAUUAUAAUUAGGGUAAUUCAUCUUAUGAGAUCCCAAUGGCCAUGAAGCAUAGACAAUCAUCCUACCAUGUUGCAUCAACACGCAUCCAAGAACAUUCAAAGAAGUAUUACUAUAGACCACAUAAUUACCACUAUCGUCUGGGAGUGCGAAAACAGACGCAUGAGUGAGGGAACACUUUACUUGCUGAAGCUCUACUCACAAUUUUUCAUCCCACUCAAACUUAACCUCUUUUCUCAUCAAUCUCGCCAAGGGCGAAGCAAUAAUUAAAAUCUUGGACGAACUAUCGAUAAUAUCCUGCUAUCCGAGAAAACUCUGAACCUCAGUCACAGUUCGCAAUUGUUCCAAAUUCUCAAUCGUUGCUACUCUUUUAAGAAUCCAUUUGAAUACCUUAAGUAAAUAUAAUUAAUUUAUCCAACAUUAGCAUUUGCUAAACUUAGCAUACAUCAACGUUCCCUCAAUCUUUGCAACACCAACUUUAAAUAUCUAGCAUGCACUGCUCUAAUCUUAUCAAUCUCGUCAAUAGCAAACAAUAACAACCUGGUCCAGAUAUCACUGGAAUACUUCCUUCAGCAAACUCAUAAAAGUAGCAGGUGCAUUCGUCACUCCGAAUGGCAUCCCAACUUGGAAUGACCAUAACGAGUCCUGGAUUCAGUCUUAUGAACAUCCUCACUGUUAAUCUUCAACUAAUAUCAUUCAGACCUCUAGUCAAUCUCAGAAAGUACCCAGGCGCCUCAGAGCUGAUCAAAUAAUCAUCAAUACAUAACAAUGGAUAACAGCUCUCAAUCGUUACCCGAUUCAAUUACCUAAUAUCAAUGCCUAGCCUUAAUGUCCAUUUUCUUCCUCACAAAUAAACCGGAGCUUUUCCAAUGUGAUAUAAUAAGUUGAAUGGAACUUUUAACUCAACCUGAACCAAUCUCUAACAUAGGAUUUGUAUCUAAAAACAAUUCAAUAAUAAAACCCACAUCUCUGCCUGGCGGCAAUCUAGGUAAGUCAUCUGGGAAUACACCAAGAAAAUGUCUAACCAUCUUUACAUCUUCCAUACUAUUAGGAUCAACAUCAUUUAGCACCAUAUGAAUUCAAUAUCUUGGCAGCCUUUUGAUAACAAUCUUCUUUGCUCUCUCAACAGGAAUAAUGGCAUAACUCACUUCACUUUACUUACCCCCAAAAGUAACCUCUGGUCAUCCAGGUCAACAAAAAUUAAUUGAUUCCCCAUAGCAAUCUAGCUUGGCACAAAUAUACAUUUCCCUUACUCGAGUCACCUUGUCUUUGAGAUCUGGGAUCACUAGUAAAUCUAUCACUUCGCCUCGAACCAGUGGCAGUAGAACCUAAGCUGGGAAAAUUAGCUCUAAUUUCACUUCCUUUGAAGCUCUGAGUCUUUCGAUGUCCUUGAUAUGACGGAUCUUUAACUUUCUCGCCUUUCCUCUAAUUACCAUUCUUUUCUUAUCCUUCUUUACUCUCGUUGAUCAUAUUCUCAAAGUCUUCAAAGCCCAACACCAUCUCGUAAACUCCUGGUAAAAAGCAUAAUGGAUAAUGGUCGCCAAAGAACGCCACUUCUUCUUAUUAUCCAGCCUAAAACAACAUAACACUUCAACCAACUAAGCAACAAUAUCCAAAUGGAAACGAGGCAAAUCUAAAAACUUUCUAUAAUACUCAUUUGCCAUCAUCUUCCUUGUUUCACCUUUGCAAACUCUUGCUUACUACCAUCAUAAUAUACCGGAGGAAUAAAUCUUUUCUUUAAUAAUUCCUUAAAUAAUUCUCAAUCAGCUGUUUCCUCCGGUGACAACGAAUAAUACUCCUGUUUCCACCAGGAUACAAAUUCAUAACCCACAACCAGGUAGUCGUCUCGACCCACCUGUCAGAAGGAAGAUUCUUUUGACUUGCAUAACCCAAAAUAUCUUUUCCAAGUGACUAAGUCAACACUCUGCUCCCUUAGGUUCAUAAUUUCCAUAAAGUGAUUCAACUUCAACUUAUAACCAGUCUCAAAACGUCCCUUUAGAUAAUAGACUGAAUCACAAUGGCAAUAGUUUCCCCCCAAACUACUAUAUCAGGGAAAUUAGGCUCAUCCGAACUACGUGGCUCGCUACGAGGCGGUAAAGUUCUGACAGAAGACACUAGGAAAUUCUCAAGAUGUCCAGAAUUGCAACCUAGGCUCUGAUACCAACUGACACACCCCAUCCCGAAGGAGGGCGUGCUGGCCGUCACGUGAGAGUGACGUAACCAUUUACACAGUUCGGAAGUUUUAAGAAAAAUUACAAUUACUAAGAUGAGACACCCGAGGGUGAGUCAUACUUUUGUGAAUUCUGUCAGAACACCGUUGGAUUCCUCGUGGCCACCAAAGCUCUGCUAACUUGAACCUGGAGGGGCGGAAAACAAAAUUGAGUGGGUCAGUAAAACAAAGUUUUUCGAAGACUUUUCAUUUAAAACAUUUAUAACCCCUCACCGUAAAACCUGUAUACUUUCCCAGAAAAUAGUAUAUAUAAAACCAUAUAUAAUCUCAAAAUUCAAAUCUCAAAUCUUUAACGCUUUUCAAGAAAACAUGCCAUGCCAUAAAUCAAAAUAUAAAUCAGGUGAAAUAAGGAAUCAAUCGGAGACCCUGCAGUUGGUCAUAUACGAUUAAUUCAACAGCUCAAUAUCUCACUAAGCCGGAGUCACCACAGUGACCUAUACGGCCCUACUCUGCACAUCACUCGGAACUACGUAAGGUAGUCUAUACGAUGAAAGGUGUAAAAUACGCUCUAGUGCUUCUCUCAUCAUAUCAUCAGCGCGCAUAUCUAAGGUCACCCACUAGUCGGAAUCACGCCUAGUGAUCUGUACGACUAGCAUGUCGGAACCCUCACAUGGUCUGUACGACAUCCACCUACUUGGAUCCAAGGCGAGCGUGCGGUGUGGUGAAUAAUAUAAGCACUAACACCUAGGGUGCAGGUAAUGAGCUUCCAAUUAUAUCGAUAUCAAUCAAUUCAAUUAAAUGAAUAAUGAACUCACCUGACUUACCUGUGCCUCCACAGCACCAUGCAACAUGUAUGCAUCAUAUCUCAAUCAUGUAAUUCAUAUAACAAUUCACAUUUUCAAAUAAUUCUAUGCAUGGCAUUUUUAAAGCAUAUUUUCAUAUAAAUUCAUUUUCUGGGAAAAAUCAAUAGUAUAUAGGUAAUACGAAAACAAAACUGCCCACUCACCUGGAGUUCGCCCACAACUCCCUCGCACCGUACAUCAAGGCGUCAUGACGAUUAGCGCCUAGAACAACAAUCAAAUCCAACCUCAGAAAUUCUGCCGAUAGAAUACAUAACUUAUAUAAGACACGUCACUACGUAGUU
rnacentral:lncRNA from 1 species